GCGGUGGUCCCACCUGACCCCAUGCCGAACUCAGAAGUGAAACGCCGUAGCGCCGAUGGUAGUGUGGGGUCUCCCCAUGCGAGAGUAGGGAACUGCCAGAC
rnacentral:rRNA from 39 species